rnacentral:rRNA from 1 species
AUACGUAGGGGGCGAGCGUUGUCCGGAAUGAUUGGGCGUAAAGGGCGCGUAGGCGGCGCGGUAAGUCUGGAGUGAAAGUCCUGCUUUCAAGGUGGGAAUUGCUUUGGAUACUGCCGCGCUUGAGUGCAGGAGAGGUUAUCGGAAUUCCCGGUGUAGCGGUGAAAUGCGUAGAGAUCGGGAGGAACACCAGUGGCGAAGGCGGAUUGCUGGACGGCAACUGACGGUGAGGCGCGAAAGUGUGGGGAGCAAACAGGAUUAGAUACCCUGGUAGUCCACACUGUAAACGAUGGAUACUAGGUGUGCGGGGACUGACCCCCUGCGUGCCGGCGUUAACACAAUAAGUAUCCCACCUGGGGAGUACGAUCGCAAGGUUGAAACUCAAAUGAAUUGACGGGG